AGUGAACGCUGGCGGUAGGCCUAACACAUGCAAGUCGAACGGCAGCACAGUAAGAGCUUGCUCUUACGGGUGGCGAGUGGCGGACGGGUGAGGAAUACAUCGGAAUCUACUUUUUCGUGGGGGAUAACGUAGGGAAACUUACGCUAAUACCGCAUACGACCUACGGGUGAAAGCAGGGGAUCUUCGGACCUUGCGCGAUUGAAUGAGCCGAUGUCGGAUUAGCUAGUUGGCGGGGUAAAGGCCCACCAAGGCGACGAUCCGUAGCUGGUCUGAGAGGAUGAUCAGCCACACUGGAACUGAGACACGGUCCAGACUCCGACGGGAGGCAGCAGUGGGGAAUAUUGGACGAUGGGCGCAAGCCUGAUCCAGCCAUACCGCGUGGGUGAAGAAGGCCUUCGGGUUGGAAAGCCCUUUUGUUGGGAAAGAAAAGCAGCAGGUUAAUACCCCGCUGUUCUGACGGUACCCAAAGAAUAAGCACCGGCUAACUUCGUG
rnacentral:rRNA from 1 species